rnacentral:rRNA from 1 species
UGAAAUCUGGCCCUCGGGUCCGAGUUGUAAUUUGCAGAGGAUGCUUUGGGCGCGGUGCCUUCCGAGUUCCCUGGAACGGGACGCCUUAGAGGGUGAGAGCCCCGUACGGUUGGACACCAAGCCUAUGUAUAGCUCCUUCGACGAGUCGAGUAGUUUGGGAAUGCUGCUCUAAACGGGAGGUAAAUUUCUUCUAAAGCUAAAUAUUGGCCAGAGACCGAUAGCGCACAAGUAGAGUGAUCGAAAGAUGAAAAGUACUUUGAAAAGAGGGUUAAAAAGCACGUGAAAUUGUUGAAAGGGAAGCGUUUGCGACCAGACCUUCGCCCGGCGGAUCAUCCGGUGUUCUCACCGGUGCACUUCGCCGGGCCUAGGCCAGCAUCGGUUUCUCCGGGGGGAUAAAAGCUCUGGGAACGUAGCUCCUCCGGGAGUGUUAUAGCCCUCUGCACAAUACCCUCGGGGGGACCGAGGACCGCGCUUCGGCAAGGAUGCUGGCGUAAUGGUCGUCAACGACCCGUCUUGAAACACGGACCAAGGAGUCGAACAUUUGUGCGAGUGUUUGGGUGUCAAACCCUCACGCGUAAUGAAGGUGAACGUAGGUGAGAGCCCUCACGGGUGCAUCAUCGACCGAUCCUGAUGUCUUCGGAUGGAUUUGAGUAAGAGCAUAACUG